CAGAAAAUUGCAGGUCUGGUGUGACGGUCCUCUAUGGAUCAGUCUCUCUGUGUUGUGUAUGUGAAGCUGCAUCUGCAUAUGGGGAAACCAGACUGAAUCAGGGAAAGCACAUCAACAUCACGGACAGAGACAGCCACUUAUCAGGAGUUCUGCUUUUUAUUAAACUUGUUUAACUGUUAGGGGUGCAAGAUAUAUAAACUCAGUAUCGUUAUCGCAAU